CUCCCGCCGCGCCUCCCCCUGCCCCCCGAGGCUGCCUCCCGGUUCGGCAGAGGCCGCUCGGCAGGGGCAGGAGGCCCAGCGCCACGAAGGGGGCGGAACCAACCGAGCGGCGGCUGCUCCCCGCGGGCCCCGCUCUCGCUUCUCCUUCGCCGGGAAACGCGGCCCGGCCGCCCCGCGGCUCCCCUCUUCCUGCUCCUCGGCAGAGGCCGGCGGGCACCGAGCGCGGCCCCGAAACGCGCCGGCCCCCCUCAGCCGCAGAGCGAAGCAGAACGGACGAGCGAACGAGCGAGCGAGCAGGUGGAGCAGGAAAGGAAAGACAUAGUUCAUAACUCUGCCUCUAUGACACCAACAAGCAGAGCUUCGUCUUCCAGAAGGCAUCUUGGUGCAGUCAACAAGUACCAGCUGUGUCACCGCGGUCUCUGCAUGAGCAAACAAUUACAGGACAGAGCCACACCUGGAUUUGUGCCUGCAAGUGAGGAUUUUCCACUACAGAGAUCAGAUUUUUGAUAACUUGAUGGAUUAUUAAAAAUUACUUCACUGGAGAAGGGAAGGCUGAGAGAAGACUUCAUUGCAACCUCCCAGUAUUUAAAAGCUGUUGGAAGUGAUGGUGGGGCUGCUGCGCAGCAGCUCAUGGCAUAUGAACAUGGCAAAGACUUGGGUACCAGACCAGCCAACUGUCC
ensembl:lncRNA